rnacentral:lncRNA from 1 species
GGUAGCGAAGGGCUGGAGGCAAACACCGAGCUCCCCCUGAGCCGCCUGGGAGCAGGGAGGGUUCUGCUACCCUGAGGGGCCCUCCCCGCGGGGCAGAGGGGUUUCCUCAGCAGUGCCCCGGAGCAGGGACCGCGCCAGCCAGCAGAAACAGCUAGUUGUUGUCUGCAGUGAAGAAUAAUUGGAAGCAUGGUGCCUGUUUCUUUUCCUGUGGGAGGAAGUCACAGCAUCUACUUCUGAAUCUGUGCUUGCCUUGAGGAAAAACGGCAUGGCACAGGAAUGUGGACGCUUUCAACCAGAGGAUUCUGUACGACGGUGUCGGCACACAAGGAGCCAAGAAUAGGACAGCUUGGGAAGCUCAUCCUCGUCUACGGCCAAACGUUGGUUUCUCAUUUCUAGAAGAUGAAAGAUGUGAUGACUCAGGAAAAACUUGCUGCUCGAGAUGUGAGUCUUCAGAUGUUCCUGCCGCCAUAUCUGACAGCUGCUGCCAAGAUUCCCUGGUGGGAUGGACUCUUAUACCUCAACAACCAGAAGCCCAAGUAAACUCUUCUAUAAAUUGAAUGACUCAUGCUUAAAAAAAAAAACAAAAAACAAACUAUCUUUA